GAAGCCCAGCUUGCUGGGUGGAUUAGUGGCGAACGGGUGAGUAACACGUGAGCAACCUGCCCCUGACUCUGGGAUAAGCGCUGGAAACGGCGUCUAAUACUGGAUACGAACAAGAAUCGCAUGGUUACUUGUUGGAAAGAUUUUUUGGUUGGGGAUGGGCUCGCGGCCUAUCAGCUUGUUGGUGAGGUAAUGGCUCACCAAGGCGUCGACGGGUAGCCGGCCUGAGAGGGUGACCGGCCACACUGGGACUGAGACACGGCCCAGACUCCUACGGGAGGCAGCAGUGGGGAAUAUUGCACAAUGGGCGGAAGCCUGAUGCAGCAACGCCGCGUGAGGGAUGACGGCCUUCGGGUUGUAAACCUCUUUUAGCAGGGAAGAAGCGAGAGUGACGGUACCUGCAGAAAAAGCGCCGGCUAACUACGUGCCAGCAGCCGCGGUAAUACGUAGGGCGCAAGCGUUAUCCGGAAUUAUUGGGCGUAAAGAGCUCGUAGGCGGUUUGUCGCGUCUGCUGUGAAAUCCCGAGGCUCAACCUCGGGCCUGCAGUGGGUACGGGCAGACUAGAGUGCGGUAGGGGAGAUUGGAAUUCCUGGUGUAGCGGUGGAAUGCGCAGAUAUCAGGAGGAACACCGAUGGCGAAGGCAGAUCUCUGGGCCGUAACUGACGCUGAGGAGCGAAAGGGUGGGGAGCAAACAGGCUUAGAUACCCUGGUAGUCCACCCCGUAAACGUUGGGAACUAGUUGUGGGGUCCAUUCCACGGAUUCCGUGACGCAGCUAACGCAUUAAGUUCCCCGCCUGGGGAGUACGGCCGCAAGGCUAAAACUCAAAGGAAUUGACGGGGACCCGCACAAGCGGCGGAGCAUGCGGAUUAAUUCGAUGCAACGCGAAGAACCUUACCAAGGCUUGACAUAUACGAGAACGGGCCAGAAAUGGUCAACUCUUUGGACACUCGUAAACAGGUGGUGCAUGGUUGUCGUCAGCUCGUGUCGUGAGAUGUUGGGUUAAGUCCCGCAACGAGCGCAACCCUCGUUCUAUGUUGCCAGCACGUAAUGGUGGGAACUCAUGGGAUACUGCCGGGGUCAACUCGGAGGAAGGUGGGGAUGACGUCAAAUCAUCAUGCCCCUUAUGUCUUGGGCUUCACGCAUGCUACAAUGGCCGGUACAAUGGGCAGCGAUACCGUGAGGUGGAGCGAAUCCCAAAAAGCCGGUCCCAGUUCGGAUUGAGGUCUGCAACUCGACCUCAUGAAGUCGGAGUCGCUAGUAAUCGCAGAUCAGCAACGCUGCGGUGAAUACGUUCCCGGGUCUUGUACACACCGCCCGUCAAGUCAUGAAAGUCGGUAACACCUGAAGCCGGUGGCCUAAC
rnacentral:rRNA from 1 species